rnacentral:sRNA from 1 species
CAUUACACAAAUAUGAAGGCGGGCUGGAAUCUCUCGGGGUUACAGCCUUGCUGAAUUAUUCACCCUUGUCUUUUGCGUACUUCUUGUUUCCUUGGUGGGUUCGCCCACCACUAGGACAAACAUAAACCUUUUGUAAUUGCAAUCAGCGUCAGUAACAAAUUAAUAAUUACAACUUUCAACAACGGAUCUCUUGGUUCUGGCAUCGAUGAAGAACGCAGCGAAAUGCGAUAAGUAGUGUGAAUUGCAGAAUUCAGUGAAUCAUCGAAUCUUUGAACGCACAUUGCGCCCUUUGGUAUUCCAAAGGGCAUGCCUGUUCGAGCGUCAUUUGUACCCUCAAGCUUUGCUUGGUGUUGGGCGUCUUGUCUCUAGCUUUGCUGGAGACUCGCCUUAAAGUAAUUGGCAGCCGGCCUACUGGUUUCGGAGCGCAGCACAAGUCGCACUCUCUAUCAGCAAAGGUCUAGCAUCCAUUAAGCCUUUUUUCAACUUUU